CGGCGGCCCCCUCAGCGUCCCCGCCGGGCCUGCACGCCGGGAGCGUAGACGGGGAGAUUCGCACUUGCCGCCUGUUCGCAAACUGUAUUUACAUGGCUCAACAGACUAUAGAAAAAAAAAACCUAUAGAAAGGAAGCGAGCUGCCAGGAAAGAUUAUUUUUUCCUCCCCCCUUUUGCUGCCACUCAUGUCAUAAAUAGCUACAGCUACACGUUUUCAAACAGUAUUGUGACUUUCAAGUUGAUGAUAGCUCUCUUUAAAUAUAUAUAUUUACCAUGUGAAAUGCUUUGGGUGUUUUAGGCCUGGAAGGAAAUGCUUAUCAAAAAGAAGGCUCUAUUUUAUAUGCCUUCAAGCGGGGAGAGUGGAGAGCAGAAGUGCUAAUCUUAUGGAUCACAAACUGUAUAUAUUCUGCCAGGACAAUUUAUGCGAUACCCAGCCUCUUCUGGCAGCAUUCUUUCCCCAAGGCUGCAGGCUGCAUGAGUUGUUCUAGCAGCAGCCAUCCUGGCUACCGUCUUUCACAAGGGCUAUCAAAAUCCUCUCCUGACACCCUGGGCUGCCUGCCGGUGGAGAACAUGCUGUCACGGCCUGAUGCUGAAUUACCUUGGUCUCUGUAAGACAGGAUUUUAUACCUAUGCACUAAUGAACACUAAAGCAGAUACCUUUGGGAAAUUCCCAAUCUCCCGAGUUGGUGCAGGGGAGUACAUUGCAUGUGAACACUGGGCAGAUGUAGCCAGCGUGUGGCCCUACCUUGACAGUGGAUUAUCCAGCUGCAAACUUUUGAGAACACUUACCUGAAUGAUCUUGAUGUUUUGUAGGUUGAAAUUCUACCGAUGGACACUUCAGUUAAGGGACUUUUUCUUGAUUUUCACCUUUUCACUUGCAUUAUCCUGAUCUGUGUGAUACUGCUUGCUUCAGAGGAGUACCUGUGUUUUUAAGAUUAAAGAAGCAGUCUCUGGGGAAGCCAGGUCUUUAUUGCUUUGAAGAUCAGAAGCAAGACAUAGUGAGGAAAUAACCUGCAAACCAUUGGGGGCGGUGAAGCUGCUACUAUUGAAGAGGGCUGUCGCAUUUUGCCAAAGCCAGAAUCUCUGCAUUCAUUACACACUUGCCCAGAGGUUCAGUCGUUUCAGACUACUGGCACAUUUCCUGCUCUUAGCUAACCCCUGCUCUGCCAGCGUGGGAUGUUUUUCUAGCAGGCUGCUAACGUGCCAAGAAGCAUAUGGAUCUCUUGGUGACUAUGGAAGUUGUUUUCCAAAUUUUACAGCAUCUGACCCAGAAACAGGAAUAUUCAUCACUGCAGCAUAAUUUCAGGCCUGCCAAGAAUACAUCAAUUAUGUCAUGUAGACGUACUAAGGGAAAAGAUGAAAGCUGGAGUACAGCAGUUCCCCCUGCACCCUGCACUAGCUAUACAGAGAGUGAUGAAGUACAUCCUUGUGCCGGUAAGACCAAAUCCAGUGACACCCAGUUCGUUCCUGUUGAGGACCCAUCCUCACAGAGAGAAGUAAAAGGUCUUACAUCGUGUUCCCACAGUACCUGAGAUUGCCAGCCCCUGAAUCCAUGAUGAAACUAGAGCAACGUGGCCAACAACUUGCUUUGCCAGAUCUUCUGAAAAAUAUUCUCUGAUGCCCUUCGACUGUGAAUCCAGAAGGAAUAUGGAGCCUCAGGGAAGUGUUCUGCACACUGUGACUGUUACAAUUUUGAGGGACAUUUUAGUUCAAAGGAGAGAUUCCUAAUUAGGGGUAACUUGGGCUUCCUUCAAUGUGAUUAGGUACACUUAAAGCAAGAAGCUCCAAAGGAAGUUCACACCAGCAGCCAACACUUCACCACUGUCACCCUUCCCUUUUCGGCAUUAGAUGUUUCCCAAGAUAGACAGUGGUCAAAAAAACAUGUAAACAUAGAAGCAAAGGGUUUAUAUAUUCCCUUAUUGAUUUUUAACUACACUUAUUUCACCGCAAACCUCUCAAGAGCCAUAAAGUUGCAAGGGUUACAGCACAAUUCCUAGAAAUACUACAAGAUGUGCACAUAUGACUAAUUGAAGGUAAUACAUGUCCCAUUUGCUGUCAUGAUUAUUAUUUCUUCUGCACACACCAUCUUUUUCUGCAAGUAUCCUGUGCUCUUAAGAAAAUGGUCAUCCAAGGCAGAGGUGUCAACAACAUGCAGUUUGUUCAUGGUUCAGACCCCUGGCGCUUGCUGUCAAAUUAAUAGAAGCUUUUGCUUAAUGUUCAGCUUCUCCCUUCUGCUUUAUUUGUGUUGUUAUUCCUUGCUUAUGAUUUCAAGCUCUGCAUGCCUUUCUGCCUCUAAUAUCUUUGUCUUAUGCUAUUUUGAGCUCUUGGUCAUAUCUAAGGUGUCAGAGCACUGUCCAGACCAACACUUACUCAAGUACCAGUUUCUUGGCAGAUUCUGAAUUGCCUCAUCUGGAGUCUGCUUCUACCAGGAGUCUAUUUCAGUAUUAUUUACUCCCCUUUCUGUUGAAAACCAGUGGCUUUUUAAAAUUGAAAGUUGUCUGUUGUUUUGUUUGUUUUUUUUUUUAAUCUACAAAUCUUCAUUAGAUCUUACCCUAAGGCAGGCUAACUCCAUGCUUCAUCGUAACACCUGUAGCACAUAAAAUUGUCUCCCCAAUCUUAUAAACUACAAAAUACUUUAAAACCUUCAGGUUCAAAGCAUAUAACUUUCAUAUGCUUCAUUUUUAUUUCAAAUGCAAUACUCAAUAUUUUUUGUAACAGCUUCAUGAAUAUCCUCCUUUGCUUGGAUUGCCAAAAACUGUUAAAUACGGCAAAUGCAUCAGCACUUGCUAUUUUCAGAAGGAAAACCUCCUUCUGGUUGACUUGCUUUUAAAUAACACUUACUGCUUCCAGAUAUACAUUGAAGUGUUCUUGCCUUCUUUUCUAGUAGUUUCUGGUAUUUCCAGAGUUUGAGCCUUUAAAUGCUGCAAUAUCUUCUUGGUGUUUUUCUUCGAUUUCUUAUUAUUGCUGGUGCCACGAAUGAGGCUCAGAGGAUUACAGGAGAUGUUCUUUAAUCAUGUGUGUCUGCAGUGCCUUUUCCUCACACUUACAAGCCAGAAAGCUAAACGUCUACUAGAACAUUUACACUGGUAACCUUUCAUUAUGAGGAAAUAAUAAGCAAAAAAAAUUAUAGUAUCGUAUUCAUAGACGUGAAACCCCAAAACAUGCAAGAAACAAACAGCAAAAGCCACUUUGCAUCUGAAAAAAAGCGCCCAACAAAACAACUUAGAAAGUUUAUUUAAUAUUUGUAGAUCUAUUUUUGGUUUGUGUUUGACUGACAAAGCUAGAAGGAGAAAUAUCUAUGGUGCUAGCCAAGAAGAACAUAUUAAUCCUCAGCAACACAAAGAAGUGGCUAUUUCAAGUGGUUGUAAUGCAGAUGUCAAUGUAAAAGCUUUUUCGUCUCAACUCCAGAAACUGAGAAGCAGAUUGUGGUUUGAUAUGAGUAGAUGUUCUGUAUAUUCGAUAGAUGCAUGACUGAUCCACCAAGAGAGAGAAACUGAAUGUUUUCAAGCAUUUUUUUCUCUCAUGAAACAGAGAUCUUUGACUUCUACUUGCAUUUAGUCCAAGCCAGAUUUUCUUUAAACUCAGUUUCAGAUCUGAAAUGUUGAGCUCAUCUUCUAAUAAUAGUUGAAAUAAAUACAGUGCUCCCAGUGAAACUUUUUAUUUUUUUUUACUCCACAUUAAAAAAUGGUUACCAUGUGAAAUACAGUUUUUUUCACAGGAAUGUGAAAGACAGGGCUUUUUAAUUGGUAUUAGGUAUUACCAUUUUAAUCAUCACAUUUACAUGAAAGAACUCUAUUCAUUCAAUCUUGUGCAAAGGGCAGAUCCAUUCCCAAGUAACACGUUAACCAAUAAAUGCCUACAUACAAAAAUUACCCUCAAGCAUUUCUCGUUUCCAAUGCUGUAAUUCCUUUCAAAUAAUUUCUGGUAAAGAAAUCAAGGUCUCUAAUAUAGAGGAUAAAUAGAAGUCUGACUGUGUUAGGGAUAAUGUCUGCACUUAUUUAUGUUAUGUCCAGGUGCAACAUUUUAACUCAGAUGUGAUGGGAUUUUAUGUGUAGAUUGCUUGAGACAGCUGCUUUUUCUCCUUUAAUAUCUCUCCUCUGAAAUAUUCCCUUCUGUCUACUUUAUUUUUAUCACAAAAAAAAAUAUCCUCUGAUUUAAACAUAAUUUUCUUUUGUUCCCUCUAGUUUUAGUUCUUUAUAUUGAUAAAAUUAAAAAAAAUGAGUUAAUGAAGUUAAUGAAAUUCAGCAGCACACUUGGUGAUGUUUAGCAUCCCUUGCUUCAUCCAAAUAAUUGGGACAUUAGAUCUUAUUUUCAUUAAUAGGGCUGAACAUAUAGACACGGACGUUUCUAAAUCAGCUGUGGCUCUACCUGGUCAUUACUGAAAAGACAAACCACAGCUGAGAUUUCUAAUCCCCUGAGUGCAUGCACACAGAGGGAAAGGCCAUAAAAGCCAUUGAUGAGGAGAAAAUUAUUUUUGUAAAGUUUUGAAUGAAAUCCUGUUUUCUUCACACCAAUCGAAGUUUUGCCGUCAGUGGCAUUGGGAUGUUACCUGCAACAUUUGGUUUUCUAUUUUUGCAGCUGUUACUUCUCAUAAACUAUCUUAAAGGAAAUACUUUGCUUACAUGCUCUCUUUCAUUUCUGCCAUAACAUUCCAUCAAUAUAUUGCAAAGACAAGAGUACGAUCAGCCAUAUCUAGUCCCUCAAGGUUAGCCUAGGACGGUAUACUGAAUGGGCACAAAAGACAUGUUAGAAAUGGUUCUCCUGGGCAAAUAAUUUAUUCCUAUAAUUUCUUAUGAAUGAUAAAUGCAGGUUACAUUGUUGUCCUUCAGUUACAAGCGCUUUCCCUAUGGAAGGACAGGGGAAGGAUAUUUCCUUUCCAUCCGUUACCUGUUUGAAGGGGCAGCUAAGUGUUUUGUAUGAUGAUCCUUUAACAUGCAAAUAUUUUUAAUAAUAUCAAUGCCAAUACUUAUCAUUUAUGCAGUGCUUUUUCAUCCGUAAGUCUCAGGGUGAGGCAGACAGAUGAAGUCAGAGGCUUCUGAAGGUUUUGGUGGUGGUGGAGAGCAGCAAUCCCAUGGCAGCUGGGAUUUCAAGGGAGGAGAGAGGAGAAAGGCUGGGGGAGGUACAGGGUACCCUGCUGCGGAGAAGAGAGUGCAGUCACAGGUAAAGGAAUGGAAGAAUGCAGGACAGAAAAGAAGAGGGUCUGACAACGAUAAAGGAAGAGGAAAACAAAGCCAGAAGAACUGGAGCACAUACACGUGCAGAGGAAGGAAAACAGAUAAAGUCAUUAUGGAAGAGAACUUGUAGAACUUGCCUCAUUCAACAGGAAAAUAUGCAAUAUGGUCUUUUAAGACGUAAAACAGUAGGGGAGGUGACCUAUUUCAUUUGUACAGUAAAAGUGCUUCUUACGACUAGGAGAACCUGUGAUUUUGUUACAAUCUUGGCAAUGCACCUGUGGUCCAGUUUCAUCCCUGCCUGUGUGCCUGCUCCAUAUGUAGAGCUCUACUCACUCCCUGAUCGCUCUGAGUCUAAUAAUUUGCAGACCUCUGGUCUGGACACAGGCUUUUAAUGUAUGUUUGGACAGCUGCAUCACAACAGGGUCCUAAUUUUGAAUGGGGUCUCUCUUUUCUGCCAUAAUUGAAAUAAUAAAUCAUAACAACUCAAUAACGUUGUCACUAUCACUUCUUAGACAUCAAAAUCCCAUGAAAUCAUAAGGAAAUGUAAAUUAUGUUAAUAUUAUCUGUUGUGUUUACAAAAAUUACAAUCUAUUGUCUGAACUAAAACUGAAAAUCAUCAUGCAAAAUAUAAUUGCGCAGUCUUUUGUUUCUUUGCUACAAGUAGUUGUGAAGAAUUUGAAGGCUCCUCCUACCCCAGGCUGUGCGUUUCCCCGUAGGCAGGCCCUCUGCAACCGUCCUUUCCUUUCUGUGAUUUUGGAGACUAUAGCAGAGACAGGACAGGCCUCUUUAAAGCCCUCUGGUUUAUCUGGGUGCUUAGGACAACCCCUGUAAACAUCAGUGCAACAACACGUGGCCUUCAAAAAGCUGGGACGUUGAGGAAAAACUAGGUUGUUUUGGAAGGGACAGAUCCCGUAGAUCUGUACCUGUAUGAGAAAAAAUAUACUUUUGCGGAGACUUGUUUUGCACAUUUCUUUUGGAAUGCUUCAUGCUUUUAUGGUCUGUUUUAAUUUGUGAUAUAUGGCAAAAAUAAACAUUUUCUGGCAGCAGCUUUUUUUCUUGUUUUCUAUAUUGCUUUC